GGCCCCAUGGUCAAGCGGUUAAGACAUCGCCCUUUCACGGCGGUAACACGAGUUCAAAUCUCGUUGGGGUCAC
rnacentral:tRNA from 1 species